rnacentral:rRNA from 1 species
GAUGAACGCUGGCGGUAUGCUUAACACAUGCAAGUCGAACGGGGUGCAUAGUCACCUAGUGGCGGACGGGUGAGUAACGCGUGAGAAUCUGGCCUCAGGUCCGGGACAACCACGGGAAACGGUGGCUAAUACCGGAUGUGCCAUAUUGGUGAAAGAUUAAUUGCCUGAGGAUGAGCUCGCGUCUGAUUAGCUAGUUGGUGGGGUAAAGGCUUACCAAGGCGACGAUCAGUAACUGGUCUGAGAGGAUGACCAGUCACACUGGGACUGAUACACGGCCCAGACUCCUACUGGAGGCAGCAGUGGGGAAUUUUCCGCAAUGGGCGAAAGCCUGACGGAGCAAUACCGCGUGAGGGAGGAAGGCUCUUGGGUUGUAAACCUCUUUUCUCAGGGAAGAAGGAUGACGGUACCUGAGGAAUCAGCAUCGGCUAACUCCGUG